ACUUGACCAAAUGGAACUGCUGAAUGGAGUGGUGGACCACAGGCCACUGGGGUUGCCCAGGAUUGACUGCAGUAAAGACAGAGCAAGCACUGAGAGAGCCAAGCUGAUUUCUCAUCGUGUGGAUGCCCAGGAACAGAAUGUUGAGUUACUCGGAAUGAAGAGGGAAAAGCUCCCAUCACAUCCAGAACAUCUCUCUCUCUCUACUUUUGAGUCACUUGCAACUCCUAAUCUUUUCUGCAAGGUGAGAGAUGAUGUGCCUAGACUUUAAAAAUAGUUUUAAAAAAGCCUAACCAGAAUGAAUUCUGAAUUCUGUUGAAUUCCCUUCAAAAUGCCAUUAAUAGCUCAAUCUUCUUUUCUAGGGGUCCAGGUAUUUGCCUAGAGAAUAUAAAAAUUACCUGUCAGAGCCAUCACUGUCAACAACUGUGUGGGAAAUGCUGAUAUUGCUGGACACAUCUGUCUUGCUUGGAGAAACCUUUGGUAAACCACUGCCACCUGUGAAGAAUAUGUAUAUAAAAAUCAGUAAAAUAAACCCCUGCAAAAUAAUAAUAUCCAGGAAAUAUCUGGAAUUAAUAAGAACUCCAAAUUGGUUCCAGUACCUGGACUUUUGUCAUAACCUGCAGCUACAGCAGCAAAAGUGGGGUUUCCAUUCCUGCCUGGAAGAGAAGCUGCCUUUGCCAGCUUAUGUUUGGUACCAUUAGGCUGCUUGGU